rnacentral:rRNA from 1 species
GACGAACGCUGGCGGCGUGCUUAACACAUGCAAGUCGAACGGAAAGGCCCUGCUUGCAGGGUGCUCGAGUGGCGAACGGGUGAGUAACACGUGGGUGAUCUGCCCCUUACUUUGGGAUAAGCCUGGGAAACUGGGUCUAAUACUGGAUAGGACCAUGCUGUAGGUGGUGUGGUGGAAAGAUUAGUUUCGGUAAGGGAUGAGCUCGCGGCCUAUCAGCUUGUUAGUGGGGUAAUGGCCUACCAAGGCGUCGACGGGUAGCCGGCCUGAGAGGGUGGACGGCCACAUUGGGACUGAGAUACGGCCCAGACUCCUACGGGAGGCAGCAGUGGGGAAUAUUGCACAAUGGGCGCAAGCCUGAUGCAGCGACGCCGCGUGGGGGAUGACGGCCUUCGGGUUGUAAACUCCUUGCAGCCAUGACGAAGCCCUUGUGGUGACGGUAGUGGUAGAAGAAGCACCGGCUAACUACGUG